AGUGAACGCUGGCGGUAGGCCUAACACAUGCAAGUCGAACGGCAGCACAGUAAGAGCUUGCUCUUACGGGUGGCGAGUGGCGGACGGGUGAGGAAUACAUCGGAAUCUACUUUUUCGUGGGGGAUAACGUAGGGAAACUUACUCUAAUACCGCAUACGACCUACGGGUGAAAGCAGGGGAUCUUCGGACCUUGCGCGAUUGAAUGAGCCGAUGUCGGAUUAGCUAGUUGGCGGGGUAAAGGCCCACCAAGGCGACGAUCCGUAGCUGGUCUGAGAGGAUGAUCAGCCACACUGGAACUGAGACACGGUCCAGACUCCUACGGGAGGCAGCAGUGGGGAAUAUUGGACAAUGGGCGCAAGCCUGAUCCAGCAAUACCGCGUGGGUGAAGAAGGCCUUCGGGUUGUAAAGCCCUUUUGUUGGGAAAGAAAAGCAGCAGGUUAAUCCCCCGCUGUUCUGACGGUACCCAAAGAAUAAGCACCGGCUAACUUCGUG
rnacentral:rRNA from 1 species